UGCUCUUCACCCAGACUGCUUGUUUUCUGUCCUUCCUACAUGGAAAUGCCUCUCUGCUCCUGAGAGGGAUAUAAGAUUUCCUUCACUCUCCUUAGCUGCUCUACCUAAGAGUGAGGAAUGGGAGGCAGAACCAUAGGGGAAGAUUCUUCUGGGCCUUGAUGGAGUUCCAGAGAAGAAAGAAACGUCUUUCCUGGUGAAGGAAAACAUUGGCAGCAUGAAUUAUUGCCAAUACCAACUGUUGAGAAAAAGACAAACAGUGAGGCAGAUUUCAACAAACUAGAGAUUAAAAGCGUGCCUCUGGAUUGUGUUAAUGGCCUCCUGCUGCUUCAGCUUGCUGUGUAGGGAAGGGCUGGAGCUGUGUGGGAAGGGAUGGACUAGUUGUUACCUUUAAUGGCUUUCUUUAUCUAUCACAAGGAUUGAAAGUGUUGUUUUGAAAAUUGGAAGCCGAUGGUCUUACUCAGUCCUCUGUCUUCAGGACCUGCAGUAAAAGAUUUAAAGAUAUUUAACCACUGGAUGAAAUGUGCCUGGGCACCCCGACAGAGACCAGAAAUGCACAAUAAAGAACAAUGCUUCUGUCGUGAAGGUCAUAAUCCAAUACCGACACAACAAUCGUCUGCACCAUCUCAGCUAAUUACAUCACAGUGCUUUGAGACUUUUGAUGAGGAUUAAAUGACAUGGUGACAGCUUUCUGCUUUGAUAUUUCUGCUGCCUGUUCUUACAUCUUCACCUGUAAAUUAGAGAGAAUGCACAAAAAGGUCAACACACAGUCCAGAAGGAAAGUGAUCAGUGUUCUGUGCAUUCAUAGUUUUUGGUCCAUAUAACUGAUUUUUAGUCUGAAAUUUCCCUUAAGAAAUGGUAGUUGGUUGCAUAUUAGCUAAAUGGAGGCCAUAGAGGUUUAUGCC
rnacentral:lncRNA from 1 species